UACGAAGGGGACUAGCGUUGUUCGGAUUUACUGGGCGUAAAGCGCGCGUAGGCGGAUCGCUAAGUCAGGGGUGAAAUCCCAGGGCUCAACCCUGGAACUGCCUUUGAUACUGACGGUCUGGAGAUCGGGAGAGGUUGGUGGAAUUCCGAGUGUAGAGGUGAAAUUCGUAGAUAUUCGGAAGAACACCAGUGGCGAAGGCGGCUCACUGGACCGGUAUUGACGCUGAGGUGCGAAAGCGUGGGUAGCAAACAGG
rnacentral:rRNA from 1 species